UACGUAGGGGGCGAGCGUUGUCCGGAAUCAUUGGGCGUAAAGAGCGCGUAGGCGGCCCGACAAGUCCGCUGUGAAAGUCAGGGGCUCAACCCUUGGAUGCCGGUGGAUACUGUCGGGCUAGAGUCCGGAAGAGGCGAGUGGAAUUCCUGGUGUAGCGGUGGAAUGCGUAGAGAUCGGGAAGAACACCAGUGGCGAAGGCGGUGCUCUGGGCCGGAACUGACGCUGAGGAGCGAAAGCGUGGGGAGCAAACAGG
rnacentral:rRNA from 1 species